UACACAUCAAACAGUGUGCAUGGCCACACAGUACUUUGCUGACAGGUACACAUCAAACAGUGUGCAUGGCCACACAGUACUUUGCUGACAGGUACACAUCAAACAGUGUGCAUGGCCACACAGUACUUUGCUGACAGGUACACAUCAAACAGUGUGCAUGGCCACACAGUACUUUGCUCACAGGUACACAUCAAACAGUGUGCAUGGCCACACAG